rnacentral:pre_miRNA from 1 species
AAAGACUCGAUUCGUGGGUUUUCGUAUCCAAUGUUUGACUAUCCGUCUUAUAUAAAUUUUUUUUAUGAUUAGUAUUUUCAUUGUUGUUAGAUGAUAAAAUAUGAAUAAUAUUUUAUGCGUGACUUAUCUUUUUAAUUUUUUUUAUAAUUUUUUUAAAUAAGACGGACGAUCCACGAAAACCUAGGAUUGAGUUAUU